rnacentral:rRNA from 1 species
GACGAACCGUGCGAACGUUGUUCGGAAUCACUGGGCUUAAAGGGCGCGUAGGCGGGCAUUAAAGUCAGGGGUGAAAUCCCCCAGCUCAACUGGGGAACUGCCUUUGAUACUGAAUGUCUCGAGUAAGGUAGGGGCAUGCGGAACUGAUGGUGGAGCGGUGAAAUGUGUUGAUAUCAUCAGGAACUCCGGUGGCGAAGGCGGCAUGCUGGACCUUCACUGACGCUGAGGCG